AUUGAACGCUGGCGGAAUGCUUUACACAUGCAAGUCGAGCGGCAGCGCGGCCUUCGGGCUGGCGGCGAGCGGCGAACGGGUGAGUAAUGCAUCGGAACCUGCCCAGUCGUGGGGGAUAACACUUCGAAAGAAGUGCUAAUACCGCAUACGUCCUGAGGGGGAAAGCGGGGGAUCGCAAGACCUCGCGCGAUUGGAUUGGCCGAUGUCAGAUUAGCUAGUUGGUGGGGUAAAGGCCUACCAAGGCGACGAUCUGUAGCUGGUCUGAGAGGAUGAUCAGCCACACUGAGACUGAGACACGGCCCAGACUCCUAGGGGAGGCAGCAGGGGGGAAUUUUGGACAAUGGGGGCAACCCUGAUCCAGCCAUUCCGCGGGAGUGAAGAAGGCCUUCGGGUUGUAAAGAUCUUUCGGCAGGAACGAAACGGUGGGCUCUAACACAGGCCGCUAAUGACGGUACAUGAAGAAGAAGCACCGGCUAACUACGU
rnacentral:rRNA from 1 species